CGGACCCAGCAGGUAGUCCAAGUAGGCCUGGGACUACCUGCUGAUUUGGCCCAAAAAUAUUUAGCAUAUCGAAGGCCCAGCACAGUCCGCACAAUCCCGGCCUUGUUUUCCGUCUCCUGCAGAUCAUAAUCUUCACUCGGCGUCUGAGCAUCUCCGGCCAAGCCGCCGCCGCCCGUAUCUCCUCUUGCGGUCUCCUCACCUCUCCUCUUUCCUGGCUUGACAGCACGGCUCCCGCAGUCAUCCCGCGGUGCUACAGCAGCACGGCCGCAGCGAAUCACAGGCGACCGCCACAAAUCUAGCUCCACGCCCUAGGCCCCAACCUAGCGACUCACGUCUCGCAGUGCCCCGGCCUGUGGGCUGCGGCCAGGCCGGCCCCCCGUGGCGCCUGCCGUCCAGGGCGAGCGCGCGACGACGAGGCGUCGGGGCCUUAAGAGCUCGGCCGCCUGAGACGCCAACAAGUCCGACCGUCCGGCUGGCCCUUGUGCUCACUGCUCUACAGGACUACCCAAGGUUCAAAUUUUGGGUCCGCCACUGCCCUUUUUACUCCCCCAUUAAUUAUUUGCGCAGCUUCUGAACUCCAGCUCCAAGCACCCGUGCGUGAUGGCUUUUGAGCUCGUCCAACUCUCCCCAUCUAGAUCCGGCCUCCAUGCUAGAGGAUCUAGCCUCUGCGCGCUGGAACCUGGCAGUGACGAGGCGAGGCGAGCAAAUCGGGAGCUGCAUCUCAGCCAAGGCGUCGCGGCCUCCUCACUUGCCGUCUUGCGGAUCCGAUGGCCAGAGGGGCGGCUUUGGGACUGGCACUUGCCCCUGGCCACGAGCACGGGGAUGUCGGACGGGCUGAUGCUGGCUACUAUUGGUUGUUGAUAUUCGACAGGUUACAUUGGCUAGGGCUGGAGGUCUGCGUUGUUGUUUUGUUGCUAAAUUUGAUUGGUAUAUUCUAAUUGAAAGUGUUAUUGAGUCUAUUCUACGCUGCUAAUUUGAUCGGGAGCUAUAUCUUUCUGAGCCUUACUUCAAUCCUCAAUAAUAAGCAUGAUUUUGUAUUCAAAUAGUACAGAAAUAAUGCAGCGCCAUUGAGACCAUGGUUGCAGACUGAAGAGUACUUGUCUUAUGGACCAUGAAACAGAUUUAUGUGUGAUACCAUGCCAUGUUUUAUCAUUUUGACAUGCUAGCAAUACAGAAAAGCAAAGGAUUUCUCGUAAUAGAUAACUAUUGUAAUUCUAAAUGUGUUAUUUUGGCAUCCAUCAUGUUUAUUAGGAGGUUGCCUUUUGCAUGCCUGCUAGGUGUUCGAUAAGAUGACAAUGUGCUAUGUUACUCCUUGCUUUUUUGUUCUUUGUUUGGUGAUUCUCUAAUUUUUAGAUCACUUCCAUGAAUCUUGGCUAUAGGAUUGGUAGAAGCACAAUAAUUCAAGAGUGUCAUAGCACAUCUACAUUUUCCUGUACAAUUUCAGAGUGCCAUGACCUUUUUGUUGUUGUUGUGAACAGUGCUAGAAUGAUGGAGGGACAUCGAGCAGGUCACCGCAAGCACAGCAAGUGCCAGUUAAUUACAGAAAAAGCAAUGGUCGAUCAUGAAUGGAUGCACAAUACUUGGAACACUUGCGGUUUCUUUUCAACAAGCUUGGUCAGGUUCUGUUCGUGGGGAGGCACUGAAGUUAUAUCUUUCAAGAUGAUUCGAGCUUUUUAUUUGCGUAACUCAUUAUCUGUCAUCAAGUGGCUUGGCUGUUUGUGUUUGGGUUGAGUGACUUGUCGUUGGGCUGUGAUAUGAAUCUGGUGAUUUUUGGACAAGUAAUAUUGUGUUGUAAUAUAUAUUCAGUCAAGUUACCUGCUGGUUUGAAUGAACCUGUUGUUAUAAUAUCAGUAUUGCUAAAUAUUAUGGGAUGAAAUGAUGAUGGAUUUGCUGUUA